UACGUAGGGUGCAAGCGUUAAUCGGAAUUACUGGGCGUAAAGCGUGCGCAGGCGGUUUUGUAAGUCUGUCGUGAAAUCCCCGGGCUCAACCUGGGAAUUGCGAUGGAGACUGCAAGGCUAGAAUCUGGCAGAGGGGGGUGGAAUGCCGCGUGUAGCAGUGAAAUGCGUAGAUAUCGGGAGGAACACCAGUGGCGAAGGCGGCUUCCUGGCGCGAUUCUGACGCUGAGGUGCGAGAGCGUGGGGAGCAAACAGG
rnacentral:rRNA from 1 species